rnacentral:ncRNA from 2 species
UUCUUAUCAAGAGAGGUGGAGGGACAGGCCCGAAGAAACCUCGGCAACAGGUUUAAAAACACUGUGCCAACUCCUGCAGACAAAUGUCUGGAAGAUAAGAA